CCCCUCUUUACUCUGCGCGUGCGCAUUGAUGUUAUGGGUACAAUAUUUUGAAUGUGCUAUUAACGAAAGAAGAGGUAUGGGAGUCGUAAGUAUUCAUCAGUUUCCUAUCCCAGAAGGAAAAAGUGGACAGCAGGCUGCUGAAUUGUUACAAAAAAGAUUAGAAACAAUUGGAGCUGUUAAAACUGGUACAUUUUGUGUUGAAUGCGAGACUUAUUAUGCUGCACCUCAUAUAAAUCCUAAUAGGGCGGUUAAUAUAAUUCAUAACAGUGAACAUCCAGUUACUUGCUUUGCAUUGCUGGAUACUGGAACAUGUCUAACUGCUGAUUCUCAAUUUGAUAUGUUCAUGAUGAAAAUGGCUGGCAUAUAUAUCCCGAAGAAAGCUACAAAAAUUGAAUCUAAAGGACCUCGUUACGAAGUUCGAGAUUUCGUCAUUAAAUUAGGAAGUGUAUCUAUUGGACCAAGUUUUAGAGGAAUAUUAGUUGAAGUUGAAUAUACACCUUGUGUAAUUCCUUUUUUUUGUUGGGAUUUGAUGCGAGAAUUACUGCAAGGUUUCAUGGGAAACAGUGUGCAGUGCCCUUCACAAUACCUGCAAGGAAGAAUGAAUGAAAUAUAUACAGCUAUAGACACUGUACAACAAUACAUGGAACAUUUUAAUUCAUUUCGCAGGUUACCAUCUGGUGUAAGUUGAAAGAAAAAAAAGAACCAUUUUAAGUCAUGUGCCUCUUGUUAAAGGGUCUUUGAACUCAGAUACCCUGGUAUUUGACACCGCUCUACUGGAUCGAGGUUACAGCCAGUUAUGGAUAGCUAUGAAUUUUGGAUAAACCCAAAAGGAAUAAAAUGGUGAAAUAACAGAAUUAGUCCUCCCCCCUCAUAAAUUUUAAACGGAUUAAAUAAAAUUUACCAUCUUGACACUGCCUGAAAACUGUGACUGAUGCUGGUGGAAAUAUCACAGGAGCAUAAAAAGAAGCAACAGCGGGUUCGUCAUGUGGUAGAAAACGUUCAUACUGAAAGGAAAUAAAUGAAUAAAUAAAAGAUAUAUGUAAUA
rnacentral:misc_RNA from 1 species